rnacentral:rRNA from 1 species
UAACACAUGCAAGUCGAACGAUGAAGCCCAGCUUGCUGGGUGGAUUAGUGGCGAACGGGUGAGUAACACGUGAGUAACCUGCCCUUGACUCUGGGAUAAGCGUUGGAAACGACGUCUAAUACCGGAUACGAGCUUCCACCGCAUGGUGAGUUGCUGGAAAGAAUUUUGGUCAAGGAUGGACUCGCGGCCUAUCAGCUUGUUGGUGAGGUAACGGCUCACCAAGGCGACGACGGGUAGCCGGCCUGAGAGGGUGACCGGCCACACUGGGACUGAGACACGGCCCAGACUCCUACGGGAGGCAGCAGUGGGGAAUAUUGCACAAUGGGCGAAAGCCUGAUGCAGCAACGCCGCGUGAGGGACGACGGCCUUCGGGUUGUAAACCUCUUUUAGCAGGGAAGAAGCGAAAGUGACGGUACCUGCAGA